rnacentral:rRNA from 1 species
GACGUAGGGCGCGAGCGUUGUCCGGAUUUAUUGGGCGUAAAGAGCUCGUAGGCGGCUUGUCGCGUCGUUCGUGAAAACCUGCAGCUCAACUGCAGGCUUGCGGUCGAUACGGGCAGGCUAGAGUUCGGUAGGGGAGACUGGAAUUCCUGGAUGUAGCGGUGAAAUGCGCAGAUAUCGAGGAGGAACACCCGGUGGCGAAGGCGGGUCUCUGGGCCGA